GGCGGCCUGGCGUACGUGGUCGAGCACGAGGUCGGCGGCGCCGACCGCGAGCAGGAGGGCCUGUUCCAGUCCGGCGGCGGUGU
rnacentral:tRNA from 1 species